rnacentral:rRNA from 1 species
GACGAACGCUGGCGGCGUGCCUAACACAUGCAAGUCGAGCGAGAUUAUCUUCGGAUAGUCUAGCGGCGGACGGGUGAGUAACACGUGGGUAACCUGCCUCAUAGAGGGGGAUAGCCUUCCGAAAGGGAGAUUAAUACCGCAUAUACUCCAAGCAUCGCAUGGUGCAAGGAGGAAAGGAGUAAUCCGCUAUGAGAUGGACCCGCGGCGCAUUAGCUAGUUGGUGAGGUAACGGCUCACCAAGGCGACGAUGCGUAGCCGACCUAAGAGGGUGAUCGGCCACAUUGGAACUGAGAUACGGCCCAGACUCCUACGGGAGGCAGCAGU